CACUAUGCCUAGCCAUAAACAUAGACAGUCCACAUACCCCACUGUCCGCCCGGGUACUACGAGCAUCAGCUUAAAACCCAAAGGACUUGGCGGUGCUUUAAACCCACCUAGAGGAGCCUGUUCUAGAACCGAUAAUCCCCGUUCAACCUCACCCUUCCUUGUUCUUCCCGCCUAUAUACCACCGUCGUCAGUUUACCCUGUGAAGGUCAAACAGUAAGCACAAUCGGCAUAGCCCAAAACGUCAGGUCGAGGUGUAGCGUAUGGAAGGGGAAGAAAUGGGCUACAUUCCCUGGUACCAGGGCAUACGGAUUAUAUGCUGAAACGCAUAUCUGAAGGAGGAUUUAGCAGUAAGCAGGAAGUAGAGUGUCCUGCUGAAACCGGCUCUGAAGCGCGCACACACCGCCCGUCACUCUCCCCAAGCUAAGAUUUUUAACAUAUCUAAAACCCUAUAACUGUAAAGGGGAGGCAAGUCGUAA
rnacentral:rRNA from 1 species